CGGAACCGUACGAUAAUUAUCGUACACAUACGAUAAUUUUGUGCCUACGUACGAUGUACGAUAGCAUAUUAUUAUCGUACGCAGAUUGUACGAUAAUUUCUAUCAUGAUGCAAAAUUUGAGAAUUUAUAUUAUUUCACUCAUGCGUUGAUAGUCUAAAUCGCAGUAGCAUGAUUUUAUUUUGUCCAAUAAAAUCUUGGGAAAAUACCGGGAAAUACAAGUUCUCUAUUCCUAUUGGUCCUUACGAUCCGCUCUACUAAGUUUCACCACUGCCGAUACUGUAACUUUAUCCAGCGCCUGCUGUACACGCUUUCUUAUUGGUUAGUAUAGCAUCUACCAAUGCGAACAAGAGAAUAUAAGUUCGAUAUUUCGAUUAUGUUCACACUUCAUAUGUAUCGUAUAUUUUCGUGUAGAAAAGUUGGCAGUUAUUUCGUUAUAUUAUUAUGAUUAUAUGUCUGUAUUCGCUCUGACAAACGGAAUUAUUCAAAUUAAGUGAAGAAAGAAGUACUUGCAUGCAUAUCAAUAUUACAAUUUAUAUGAUUUAUUUAUCUAUAAUAGACAUUAUCCUAAAAAAUACGAUAAUUUCGAUCCAUGUACGAUAAUUUUUACUCCCCUGGUACGAUAGUCAGUCCACUUCAAGUUGCUAACGCUGAUGCGCAUCAAGCUGUAACUGCGCUAUACUCUCCCUAGAAGACCGAUCUUUGCGAAAACCAAACUGAUUAUUAGGCAAAAGACAAUUUUGUUCUAUAAAGAACUCGAGACGUUGUUUUAGAAGCUGCUCAAAUAUCUUCCCAACACAAGACGUGAGAGCUAUAGGUCUAUAAGAGUCAGCAUUUAAAACUGCUUCUGUACACCUCUGAUUCCACCAAGGCAACCAAGGAUAUUUAAAAGAUUUUUGUGAACAAGAACUAGUAACAUUAUUACUAUUAGAACUUUUGGAAAACAGACAGCUAGGGAUUGACUGCUUGGCAGCAGAAAGUAAAAUAUUACAAAAGGAAUUAAAAGCAUCUAUUGAAGAUAAAGUGUCAAAUUUAACAUCAUCCAAAUAAGAAACAACUAAGUUACUAUACAUAUUCCAAUUCACCUGCUUAUAAUUAGGGGAGAUGAUAACUACUGCCCAGAGGACUGUCAAUAACUGAUCAGUCACAUAAAAGAGCCAAAGAUGGAGUUACCAAAGUCAAGUCAAGAGCAUUAGGACGCCAAGAUGGAGAUCCUAUUGUGGUAGCUUGACCAUUAUUCAGAAUAACAAGACCAUUCUCAUCUAUAACCUCUAAAACAUCUUUACCUCGAGGCAAUGUAUCAACACAUCCCCACAACAUGUGAUGAGCAUUGAAAUCACCUGCAAAUAUCAUUGGCUCUGGAAUGGACUUAAUUAAACUGUUUAAAUUGUUUUUAUUAAAUGGAGGAUUUGAAUUGGAAGGACUGUAAAAACUCACAAUACUCAGUUCUUUGUUAUUAAUUUUAAUUUUAAUGCAAACAUUUUGUAGAGCACUAUCAAAAUAUGUAUUUAUGUUAGAAAAUGUGAUAUUAUUAUGAAUAAAAAUUGCUACACCA